rnacentral:lncRNA from 1 species
GCUCACGCCAUCCUGGCUAGUACAACCGGAAGUUUUUAUCAGGUUUUGCUAGGUACAAAGUGCCGGUUGUACUAGCCAGGAUGGCGUGAUUGAUGACGAAUCGCUUGUAAAAACGCGGACAAAGAUUUGCUUGAGUUACGCUUCUGGUAUAACUUCCUAUUCUGUGUCUGUGGCAUUUAAUAUCGUCGCCUUGUGGCAUGAACGACAGUUUCCGAAGUAAAGUCGACAAUUUCCGUCACAACUUCACAACUCUGCCUAUUUUCCACUAGCGAAUUUGUUCGAGCGAACAUUUGUCUUACGAACUCUCGGCUGGAACUAAUUAGAUUUUUAUUCAAUUCUUUUCAAUUUAAACAAUAUCAAAUUCGCUUCGCACGAAGAAAUUCGCAAGUGGAAAACUAAUCCGUAACAACUAAUUCACCAGCUUAUUAUAUAGUCUGGCCCCUCUCGCUGUAAACAAAGACUAGUGCCGACAGUGGCGGCAAGGGGGCCCCCCAAAAUUAUUUUUUGCCACCAUUCCUCCCCCCCUUCAAAAACAUUUAUUAGUCACUGAUAGCGACUAAAGGCUACACAAGCGUUUUGUCGUUAUCGGAAAAUGUAUGGCUUAUAAGUUGUCACAGGGUUCGUAGUCUCCAAGACCAAAAAUAGUCAAAGACUUUCAAAGAUUUUUUUCUGCUUAUAGUCAAAGACUUUUCAAAGAUCUUUGAGAGCAUCAGCUGUCGAAAAAUUGCGAAUGUAAGCACCAUUUUGACCCGGUAAUUAGUCCGGACAAAUCACAUCCUAAAAUGCACCUUUUCGUCGAUAUUUGCGAAAAUCUUGCUUCAAUCAAUCUCUUUUAUUAGCUAGGAAAUCGUAUAAUCAAAUAAUCACUAAAGAAUUUAAAGACUUUUAAAGACUUUCUUCGCUUUUUCACACAAUUCAAAAACUUUUCAAAGACCUCAAAGACCUGAAUUCAAAUUUAAAGACUUUCAAGGAUUUCAAAGACCGCUACGAACCCUGGUUGUCAUAACUCCGUGAAUGCGCCGUAUACAUGAAACUGUCUUUUACAAUUUCAAUAUUAGUUUGUAAAUCUCUGAAUGAUAAAACUUGCCAAUACUCCAAUAAUACGUUUCAAAAAAGACAAAAAAGCUUUAGUUUUGCAAAGUUAAAUUCUCAAACGUGUAUAAAAGGCCCACACAGACCGGAUGCGAUUCGGCAGCGCGACGCGAAUUUUCAGUUUUCAACUGACAAAUAAAACUGUCAACAGAUAAAAAUUUUACAAGGUAUGCAGACCAAAUAGCUGAAAUUGCUAAGUGGUCCCGAAUAUUUGAAAAACAAUGAAACAUAUUAAAGUUAAAUGUCAUUGAAAACUGAAAAUUCGCGUCGCGUUGCCAAAUAGCGUCCGGUCUGUAUGGGCCUUAAGGCACUAAUAAGAUGAAAGUAUCACGAAACUAUUUGAAUAACCACAUCGCGUAUAUAUGGGGGGCGAAUAUCCUAAACGGGGAGGGAUAUUCCUGAGGCAUUCGCCCCUCUGGGGGGGAUAUUCCUAGGAUAUUCGUCUCCCGGGGGCGGUAUUCCUAGGAAUAUCGGCCCCUUUUGAGAGGGGGCGAAUCUCCUAGGGGGAGGGGACAAAAGUCCUGUGACAACGGCAUUGGCAAAUAGC